rnacentral:rRNA from 1 species
UCCAGACUCCUACGGGAGGCAGCAGUGGGGAAUAUUGCGCAAUGGGCGAAAGCCUGACGCAGCGACGCCGCGUGAGGGAUGGAGGUCUUCGGAUCGUAAACCUCUGUCAGCAGGGAAGAACGGUCACUGUGCUAAUCAGCAGUGAAUUGACGGUACCUGCAAAGGAAGCACCGGCUAACUACGUGCCAGCAGCCGCGGUCAUACGUAGGAUCCGAGCAUUAUCCGGAGUGACUGGGUGUAAAGAGUUGCGUAGGUGGCAUAAUAAGUAGCUAGUGAAAUCUGGUGGCUCAACCAUUCAGACUAUUAGCUAAACUGUUAAGCUCGAGACCGUUAGGGGUAACUGGAAUUUCUAGUGUAGGAGUGAAAUCCGUAGAUAUUAGAAAGAACACCAAUAGCGUAGGCAGGUUACUGGGACGGUUCUGACACUAAGGCACGAAAGCGUAGGGAGCAAACGGGAUUAGAUACCCGGGUAC